AUAAAACAAUAUCCAUCUCUGAUGCAGGACGCCAGAAACCCUGGGGCCUGGAUGUGGGGGUCAUCCUGUAACAAUGAGCACAAAUUCACAGGAAAUGUUCCAGAGGUCGGGUACUUCCUUUUAAGGUGCAGCAGAGAACCAUUUCACAUCGCUUCUGCUCCGUUUCACCGCCGCGUUCAGCCAGGAUCCUGACAAAGGAAAACGCAGCCGCCUCAACCGCUGCUGGAGGAUCUAGCGUCUGCAUCGGUGCUGGUGUCUGAGCGGAGCUACACCAGGGGGGACCGUGCGCGGAGCAUGAGAGAAGGACGGAUGGGUGCUUUGCAACAUGACUGAAUAAUUAGAAUAUGCUCGCCAUGGUAACAACAUGGGCAUGAACUGUGUCAACGCUAAUUUCCAUGACAAGGCUUUGACAGUCCUCUGAA
ensembl:lncRNA